GGCUCUUCAUCUCUGUACAUAUUGUCUGUAUAAUGGCCUUCUCAUUUUACUUAUCCUUAAAGGCUCACCUCCAAAUUACUUCUUCUGGCCAAAUCUGCAGCCUAGGCAUCAAAUUGGAACUGCAGCUGCCGACUGACACCACAGCCACAACAGUGCAGGAUCUGAGUUGCAUUUGCGAUCUAUACUACAGCUCAUAGCAAUGCUGGAUCCUUAACUCACUGAGCAAGGCCAGGGAUUGAACCCAUAUCCUCAUAGAUACAGGUAUUGAAAAGAUACACCAAAAUGUUGAUCUUAUCCAAGUGCAAAAUGCAGAAUCAGAAUUGGUGUUCUCUGGAAAAAGACAAAAGUCAAGCCUUGGUAUAAAUUUGGAAAAACACAUUCUUUUUUCUUAAUGGAAGCUAUGGCAGAACCCCGGAAUCAUACACUCAAGGCUGUGGAGAGCACCUUGUGGAUUCCCGUGAGGUUGACUUUCCUUUGGGUGCAGCCAUCAGGCGGUGCAGGCAGGAGACCCGAGGAGGAUGGAAGGACACGAAGGUCUCCCUGUGCCUCUCGCUACUCUGCCAGGCUCGCCAUUGGCGGCGAUGAUUCCUCCGCUGAGGCUCGUGAUGCUUCUCAGGAAGCCCGCUGAAACAGACGGUCUUAGAAACUGCAUCCUGUACCGUCCCCUUCAAGUCAAGUGAUUACCGUCUCCUCUUUUCCAACAGUAGGUUUUGCCUCAUAGUAUCCAAAGUCCUGAUAGAGAAUAGCUACAUUUAGGGGGAUCUUACCUGAUGCCGGGGCACUCCCCUAAGGGAUUUUUUUUUUUUUCUUUCAACACUCACUGAAUUCCUACCAUAACCCUGCUUGUGGUAAACUAAGGCUUCAUGAAGUUCAUUGUCCCACAUUGUGAAUGGAACUGGCUUCUGGUAAGAGCACAGACUCUAGAAUCUGACUGCCUGGCUCUAAACGCUGCCCCUUCCACCUGUGAGCUCAUGGUCCUGAGCACAUUUCUAUUGGUCAGUCUCCUCACCUAUAAAAGGGAUAAAAAUAGUACUUCAGAAGGUAGUUGUGAAGAUGAAAUGUGCUAAUAUAUGUAACACACUUGGAGAAUAUGGCUUAUAGGAGAUGCCUGUGUGUGUUUGCUAUCAAUAUAAAUCCAAAACCCAUCCAUUUACUGCAUUAUACUCACCUCCUAUCAGAAAGCAUACACAUUUUCUUUAGAGUGGAAGAUCCCUGCCCAUCACUUUUAAAUAACCUGUAUGGUGUUCUCUAUUUUAUGCAGUGGAUUGGCUCUCAUUUAAACACAAUGCUUUUAUGUUUAAAAAGCAAAACAGGAUACUCUGUUAUUUUUUCAUUGCCAGAAAGGCAAGUAUAGAUAGUAUCACAGAAAAAGUUGUAGAAGCUCCCCUGUUGGUGUACUGAACGAAUUAUAGGAACACAGAUAAUCUUAAAGACUGGAAGGCCUCUGACCAUCUCAUUUACAUACAGAGAAACUUGGAAAUUUGGCUACAGUCUCACUGUUGUUCUAUUAUAAGAAAAAAAGGGGUUCUUUGUGGACAUUAGCGUGUUUAGGAUAUAGAUAAAAAUCUGCCUUGGAUGACAAGGAGAGUGAAGCUCAAAUUUGAAGCCUCUUACCAGACCUGAGUACAUAUUUGAAGAAACAGCCAUAGACUCUGUGUUCUUUAAAGGCAAAGGAAGCCAGCAAGCUGAAGAAAGCAUGUGAAGAACUGGGUCAAGCAGUUUCAGAUACAGAGAACCAUGGAGAAAUGUUCUGCCCACCACCUUCAGCUCUCCUUAUCUCUACUGUCACACCAAAACAACCUUGUGAUGAUGUAACAGAAAAUUACUGAUACAGGAACCUAAAUUCCAUAUCUUGCCCUCUUAAUACAAGAUAGCAAAACAUAACUAUCUAAACCAAUUAAGAAAGAGUCUUGGAGUUCCCAUAGUGGCUCAGUGGUUAACGAACACGAUGAGUAUCCAGGAGGAUGCAGGUUUGAUCUCUGGGUUUGCUCAGUGGGCUAAGGAUCCAGCAUUGCCAUGAGCUGUGGCGUAGGUCGCAGACUCAGCUCAGAUCCAGCAUUGCUGUAGCUGUGAUAUAGGCCAGCAGCUACAGCUCUGAUUUGAUCCCUAGCGUGGGAACCUCCAUAUGCCGCAGGUAUGGCCCUAAAAAGACAAAAAAGAAAAAAGAAAAG
rnacentral:lncRNA from 1 species